GCAAGUCGAGCGAUCCCUUUCGGGGGAUAGCGGCAAAAGGGUGAGUAACACGUAAGCAAUUUUCCUUCGAAUCGAGCAUAGCAUUGUGAAAACAAUGGUAAUUCUGGAUAGUAUCUUUUAUUCGCAUGAAUUUAAGAUUAAAGAUGGGGACCUUCGGGCCUAUCGUUUGAAGAUGAGCUUGCGUACCAUCAGCUAGUUGGUGAGGUAAUGGCUCACCAAGGCUAAGACGGUUAGCUGGUCUGAGAGGACAAUC
rnacentral:rRNA from 1 species